UACAGAGGGGGCAAGCGUUAUUCGGAAUUAUUGGGCGUAAAGGGCGCGUAGGCGGCUUGGCAAGUGGAAGGUGAAAUCCCUCGGCUUAACCGAGGAACUGCCCUCCAAACUGCUUAGCUUGAGACCGGGAGAGGUGAGUGGAAUUCCCAGUGUAGCGGUGAAAUGCGUAGAUAUUGGGAGGAACACCAGUGGCGAAGGCGGCUCACUGGACCGGUACUGACGCUAAUGCGCGAAAGCGUGGGGAGCAAACGGG
rnacentral:rRNA from 1 species